rnacentral:rRNA from 1 species
AUUUACAGCCAUAUCACCCUGCAGCCCAAGACCGGUUACUCACUGAAGCUAAGCAGGGCUGAGCCUGGUCAGUACUUGGAUGGGAGACCACUAGGGAACACUAGGUUGCUGUUGGAA